rnacentral:rRNA from 1 species
AACGAACGCUGGCGGCAUGCCUAAUACAUGCAAGUCGAACGAGAUCUUCGGAUCUAGUGGCGCACGGGUGCGUAACGCGUGGGAACGUACCCUGAGGUACGGAAUAACCGAGGGAAACUUCGGCUAAUACCGUAUGAGCCCCGUGAGGGGGAAAGAUUUAUCGCCUUAGGAGCGGCCCGCGUCGGAUUAGCUAGUUGGUGGGGUAACGGCUUACCAAGGCUUCGAUCCGUAGCUGGUCUGAGAGGACGAUCAGCCACACUGGGACUGAGACACGGCCCAGACUCCUACGGGAGGCAGCAGUGGGAAUCUUGCGCAAUGGGGGGAAACCCUGACGAAGCAACGCCGCGUGGAGGAUGAAGGCCUCGGUCGUAACUCCUGUCGACUGGGAAGAAUGCACCUGACCUAAUACGUCAAAGUGUUGACUGUACCGGUGGAGGAAGCCACGGCUAA